rnacentral:rRNA from 1 species
ACGCCAGACUCCUACGGGAGGCAGCAGUGGGGGAUAUUGCACAAUGGGGGGAACCCUGAUGCAGCGACGCCGCGUGAAGGAAGAAGUAUCUCGGUAUGUAAACUUCUAUCAGCAGGGAAGAAAAUGACGGUACCUGACUAAGAAGCCCCGGCUAACUACGUGCCAGCAGCCGCGGUAAUACGUAGGGGGCAAGCGUUAUCCGGAUUUACUGGGUGUAAAGGGGGCGCAGACGGCAGCGCAAGCCAGGAGUGAAAGCCCGGGGCCCAACCCCGGGACUGCUCUUGGAACUGCGCGGCUGGAGUGCAGGAGGGGCAGGCGGAAUUCCUGGUGUAGCGGUGAAAUGCGUAGAUAUCAGGAGGAACACCGGUGGCGAAGGCGGCCUGCUGGACUGCGACUGACGUUGAGGCCCGAAAGCGUGGGGAGCAAACAGGAUUAGAUACCCCAGUA